ACUGCGACGACCCAGGGCUGUUCCUGGAUGCUACCUUAUUAGGGCAAGGUGUUCCUCGAGGAGCGCAGGCGCUGGGGCCAGGCGGGGCCCAAUGAAUUGGCGCUUGGGCCAGCCGACCCAAAUCUAUAAAGAGGUCACGGCUCUCCUCGACUAUGAAGUCCAAAGUAGAACUGCAUCUCCAAGAUCUGACACUACAAUUAAGAACCUGCGGGAUCGCCUUAAAUUCACCUCUACUGUUUCAGUAUCGGAUAAGGCACUUCAUUCACAAGACAUGUUACUGAUAGACUGCUGUGUUCUGGACAUCAUUCUGGGCUCUUUGGGCCGUGAUCAAAAUAGACAAAAACAGAUGAAAAUCAUUCCACUUGAUUGAGCCUCCGGAGCGCCAUAGGUGCAAACGAUUGUAGCCACGUGGCCUGCACACAGGUGGCAUUGGGUAAAAUCCAGUCUACCUGUCAGCGGCAGGGGCUGGGCUCCAGGACUUCUGCCCAGGAAGUACUGUGAGUUUAAGAGAGCGGUAUUUCCCCCUGGUGUGGAAGGAAGUGUCCUGGCAAGGAAGUGGACACGGAUAAUAGAGUUCAACACAAGCGUGGGGUCUAGGCGGGGUUCCCAAACUUGGCUACUAUUGGAAUCACCGGAAAGCCUUCUCCAAACAAAUCCCUGGAGACAGGCCCGAGACUGAUAACUUAAGAAAAAAAUAAGUGUACUUAUCUCUUCUGAGAGCAAGGGAGAGCACGCCACCCCCACGAGGGCCCCUGGUCUGGGUCCAUCCCCAGUCUCCGCUGUUCUGGAACACAGGAGGAGAAUGGGUGGCGUUUUGUCAUUUCUUCCUCUCCAGAGUUGGCUACUCCCUGAGAUGGGGUUUGCAAGACUCAGCCAAGCUCCAGUUGCUGCUUCACCACAUGACUUUCUAGAGAUUGAUAAACCAAAGCCACUGCCCUCUCUUCUCUGCAGCAAAGGUGCUCAGCCAGACGCCUGAGGACAGUUCCUCCAGAGGCAGACAUGUGCUGGGGAGAACUUGGCUUCUGAGCCAACUGUGUGGUUCACCGUGGACUCCAACCCCUGGAAUGGGGACAGCCACUUGCCCUCCUGGAACAGGCUUUUCACCAGGACAACCAGACUGCAUGUGCCCUCUGGCAUAUAUAUUACAUACAUAUUACGUGAGAGCAAGAGGCCCCAGAGAGACUCUUCACUCCCUCAACCACGUGAAGGCAGCCAGAAGAUGCCAUCUGUGAAUAAGAGGGCAGGCCUUCACCAGAUGGUGGAUAUGCCUUGAUCUUGACUGUCUCCACCUG